rnacentral:lncRNA from 1 species
AAGCUUACCAGAGUGCCAUCGAGUUCCUUCCCCUAAGGAUCAGACUUCCAGACUCAAGUGUCAUUUGACCUGGUAUCCAGCUUAAUACAGCCUCUGCUUUUGAAUAGAUUUCCUUACAAGUGGCAAUCUCUAAUAGGGUCAUGUCGAGAGGCAACCCGACUGCAUACUACCUACUGCACGUUAACGUGAUGAAGGUCUCUCCUGAGCACACGGCUUCAUAAACCAGCUGCACAAGCAACUGCAUCUGGGGAUCUGCUUCAAGAGAAACUUAACUAAAGCAAGAAUGGGCUCUAACUUCAGGAUACCUAGGAUUCUAACCUCGUUCCAUUACUUACCAACGAUAUGACCUGGGAAAAAUUAUAUACCUGCUGUAAGCCUCAAUGUCCUCAUUUGAAAUACACACAUAAUAGUAGGAUCUCUCUUACAAGGUUGCUGAAAAUAUAAACAGUGGUUAUCAAUGGAAAAAGCUUCUCUCAGUGCUUGGCAAAUAGGAAGCACUUAAUAAGUGUUUUCCGGUAUUUUUAUGAUUAUCAUCAUUACUAUAAUUCCCAAGGCACCCAAAACCCAUGCUAGUCCUCUGGAGACAUGAUUUCUCCAGCUCAAUUCAACUAGGCUGCUGGCUGCUGAGAAUAAUAGAAGAGCUGCAUUUUUAGAGACGGCAGCCAGGAGCUUGUGAUAGAAUGGGGAGAAACAGAAUUCGAAUGAGCAGAAUCAGGAAGUCUGGAUAUUUCUGGAUGUUUUCUGCUCAUUCAAAUAAAUUUUGUAGACGUUUACAGAGUUCCAUGUGCCAGGAACUGUGGUAGGUUCUAGAUAUCCAAGAGGAAAUGUAUUUUAUUCUUUGCAAGGGGGGUUCAUUUUGUGAUGUAAUAGUAACUCCCUCAAGUAUUGGAUACAUAAAAGUAUAAAUGCUGGUUGUUAAAUUAUGACACACUGGAAAUUCUCAGGUAAGUUUCUAGGAAGUGAAAUAAAUAGGCUUGGGGAUACAUCUAGUUGUAAUAUAAUUAAGUUAGUUAUAUAAGCUUUUAAUGGAUUAUAUUUUUGUAAGUACCAAUACUUGUAAAAUUUUUGCUUUUAGCAAAUUAGGUACCAUUUGAAUACACUGGCUGAUGCUUAAUAAGAAUUAGAACUACAUUUUGCUUGUUGUGUAAGUAAAUAUCACGUUACAUGCUUGUUUAAUGUUUGUGAAAACCAUUCCAAACAAUCUCUUUAGAAUAAGAGUCUAAUUACACAUUUAUCAUUAAAAUUACAGUGAGCUAAUUGCCUUGGAGAUAUCUUUAUCUCUCUUACAGCUUGCUUAAUCCUAAUGCAUGUUUUAAAUAAUCAUUUGUUAUUUAAUUAACUAAUUAACAAACAAUAACUGUCCUAUGGAAAAUCCUAAAUUAAACACUUGAGACUUUUUAAUUGAAUGCUCAAUAACCCAAUAUGGCACUUAAUAUUAGACCUUUUAAAUAUUGCAAAGAUUCUAUUGAAUCACAUAUUAGUUUGCUCCUGUUAUCUUUGGGGCUUAAUUGGUAGAAACAUAAACGGGCAGUUGAUAAUACACAAGGGGUAGCCAGCAAAGCAAGGCUCUCAUGAAAUAGAAAAUAUCCAUUAAUGGCUGCCAAGCAGCAAAGUGGGCCAGCCAUACUGGCCAGCAACAAAGGCAGGCCAUUCAUUUAGGAUACUCAUGUCCUUGCCCCAUGACAUUAAAAAGCACAGUUUUAAAGAUAAACACAAAUAGGCCCAAAAGUCCAUAGUCUGUGACGCAAAGCUGCUUUGAGCACACCUGGAGGAUGGUAUUUCCUCCUAUGGUAAUAGCAGUGGUAGAUGGACUCAAGAGUAUUCCUUUGUAUCAUAUCCCCCCAGAAUGAUUGUUUUCCAAGUCUCCAGUCUAGCCCCCUCCAUUUCAACUUUGAAAAUGCUGCUAGAAAGAAUUUCCUAAAAAGCGGAUCUAAUUAUCAACUUCUUGUUAUCACUUUCCCGUCACUUUCCAAGGGUUGCUUUCUAACCUCUUUGGUGUUUGCAGCUUACCAUAUUCUGAGCCCUGGUUUCCUAAUGAUUUCCUGACAUCUCCAGCCAUUUCUCCCUGUACCUUUUAUUCCAUUAGUGUCAUUACCUUAAGUUUUCAUGCUCAUCUAUUUUGUAUAUUACGUGCUCCUCUCUCUGGCUGUCCUACUUUUUUUUCAUGGGUAUAUUCUUCAAAGAAUUCUCUGCUCUUGAAACCAGGAGUCAGACGUACCGCCAUCUUUUUCUAUGUUUCCUUAAUUAUCUCCAUUAUAUAGUAUGUACUAAAUUGUAUUAUAAUUUUUUAUAUGUCUAUCUCCCAGUUUAGACUAUGGAUAUUAGAAUUUACUUUCUCCUAUCUUCAGUUUUUACAUAUGUAAAGUGGGUGGAAUAAUUGUACUUCACUGAUAAGAUUAUUGAGACUUAUAUGGCAUACUGCAUAUAAAAUGCCAAUAACAAUGCCUGACAUAUGGUAAAUUCUAAAUCAUUGUGAGUUUACUUUAAUGUUCUUACGUAUUCUAUUUAAUAUUGUAUUUCUUGUGUCCAAUACAGUUUAUGGCCAUUGUAUACAUAUGCACUAAGUAAAUGUUACUAAAUGGCUGGCUGCAUGAGUGACUGCAUGAAUAAAUAACUGUAUGAAUAGCUUGAAGCAGAAAGAGAAAGUCUUCAGGGUAAUAUGGAAGUUUUUAUGUAUUUAUAAAAUUAUGUCCUGUAGCAAAGGGAUCAGAAUGUUUCCAUGAGACUGUAGAGGGAGAUCCCUGACCAUAAAGUAAAUCAAUAGAGAAAAGGAGGUUGGUUCAAUAAAAUUUUCUAAAAAUUGGUAUAUAUUCAAAAUAGAGUGGGCUUUCUAUGAGUUUCCUUUAUUUUGUGUGUUCAAGCAGAGACUGAACAAUAAAAUUGUUGA